UGGGGAAUAUUGCACAAUGGGCGCAAGCCUGAUGCAGCCAUGCCGCGUGUAUGAAGAAGGCCUUCGGGUUGUAAAGUACUUUCAGCGGGGAGGAAGGCGAUAAGGUUAAUAACCUUGUCGAUUGACGUUACCCGCAGAAGAAGCACCGGCUAACUCCGUGCCAGCAGCCGCGGUAAUACGGAGGGUGCAAGCGUUAAUCGGAAUUACUGGGCGUAACGCGCACGCAGGCGGUCUGUCAAGUCGGAUGUGAAAUCCCCGGGCUCAACCUGGGAACUGCAUUCGAAACUGGCAGGCUAGAGUCUUGUAGAGGGGGGUAGAAUUCCAGGUGUAGCGGUGAAAUGCGUAGAGAUCUGGAGGAAUACCGGUGGCGAAGGCGGCCCCCUGGACAAAGACUGACGCUCAGGUGCGAAAGCGUGGGGAGCAAACA
rnacentral:rRNA from 1 species